UGGCGAGAUCAGCUCCAUUCACCUCUUCAUUCGGCAGCUGCUUUUUUGAACCCAAGUGUCCAGUACAAUCCUGAGAUAAAAUUUCUCGUAUCUAUUAAAGAAGACUUUUUCAAGGUUAUUGAGAAACUGCUUCCUACUCCUGAAAUGAGACGUGACAUCACUAAUCAGAUUUUUAUUUUUACAAGGGCAAGUGGAAUGUUUGGUUGCAAUUUAGCAAUGGAGGCGCG
rnacentral:misc_RNA from 1 species